rnacentral:rRNA from 1 species
AACAGGAUUAGAUACCCUGGUAGUCCACGCCGUAAACGAUGAGUGCUAGGUGUUAGGGGGUUUCCGCCCCUUAGUGCUGAAGUUAACGCAUUAAGCACUCCGCCUGGGGAGUACGGUCGCAAGGCUGAAACUCAAAAGAAUUGACGGGGGCCCGCACAAGCGGUGGAGCAUGUGGUUUAAUUCGAGGCAACGCGAAGAACCUUACCAGGUCUUGACAUCCUCUGACCACCCUAGAGAUAGGGAUUUCCCUUCGGGGACAGAGUGACAGGUGGUGCAUGGUUGUCGUCAGCUCGUGUCGUGAGAUGUUGGGUUAAGUCCCGCAACGAGCGCAACCCUUGAUCUUAGUUGCCAGCAUUUAGUUGGGCACUCUAAGGUGACUGCCGGUGACAAACCGGAGGAAGGUGGGGAUGACGUCAAAUCACCAUGCCCCUUAUGACCUGGGCUACACACGUGCUACAAUGGAUGGAACAAAGGGCAGCAAAGCCGCGAGGCCAAGCAAAUCCCAUAAAACCAUUCUCAGUUCGGAUUGUAGGCUGCAACUCGCCUACAUGAAGCCGGAAUCGCUAGUAAUCGCGGAUCAGCAUGCCGCGGUGAAUACGUUCCCGGGCCUUGUACACACCGCCCGUCACACCACGAGAGUUGGUAACACCCGAAGUCGGUGAGGUAACCUUUUGGAGCCAGCCGCCUAAGGUGGGACCAAUGAUUGGGGUGAAGUCGUAACAAGGUAACC